CACCCACCCCUGAAACCAGCACUGUUCUUCUUACACCACACUAAAUCCCAAUCUUCGAUCUAGAAAAAAAUUCUCACUGAUUCCCCAGUGCUGGAGGCAGAAGGUUCCUCCUCCUGAGGCCCUAUGGUUUAAACGCAUGAAGAAGCUCUGUUUUCUUAGCGGAGCUCACCAUGCUCACAAAACGCAAAUGUAUAUGACAAUCUGGACUCCUUGGAUCUUAUCAGCAGAUUCAGCCUAUGUCUGGACCCUACUCUAAUGGAAAGCAGAGCUGUGGAGACAUAGGGGGAACACAAAUAGUCAUUGUGGCAAAACCAACCUCGCCACGAAGCAUUGGAGAAGCCUGGUUGCUCGCCUGUAUCCCCUGGAUUAUGGCCCCAUGUUAAAAAGCCUUCUUUUCCCUUGCAGAAAAGGCUUGUUCGUGCCUUUCUGCCCAGCGUUCAGUAGAUUCAAUCUACCGAACAAACAACCCAAUGACUGGACCACCUGUAUUGGGCGUGUGUCGGCAAUUUACCUCCCAGAAGCUGCGGUUAACCGCAGCUUAAUUGACGAAUGCUGGGUGGCCUUUGUUCGUUUGCCGAACACGUGGCGGCGGCCAUUUUAAAGUCCCGAACGGCCAGCGGUGUUCAGCGCCCAAACUAUGGAACUGGAAACGGACACUUAUUUGCGCGAACACCGCUGAGCCGUCAGCUUCCUUGCAUCUGCAUUCCGUCAUUUAACCGGAUGCCUGUUCAUUCGGUAGUUUAACCAUAUGAACAGCAUUACCCCAGAUAGCCAUGCCAUGGAGCCUAUUCGUGUAACGAAAGACUACGGGAAAGACUUUGGCUCCGUGGCGAUUGAACUGUACGUAUGUGAUCUGAGCACCAUCCGGUAAUAAUGUGCGCUCAGAUCUAAGCUAUCUGGGGAUAUGUAGAAUGUAUAUGUUUUGUGCAACAGUUGUAACUUUAUACAUUUUUACUGUCUUUUACUGCCAUGUGGUUAAUGGAGUUUUGCCUCUGUCCUGGGAGAUAAUUGGAUUACUUCCCAAUUAUCUCCAGGACAGAGGGAGGGAAAUUAGGAUGCAUUGUGGGAAUGUUUUACUUCUGUGUGUCUGUCAUUGGUUCAUGUCUGUCCUUUGUCACAGUCUUCCAUUUGGUCCCCUAGGGGAGUGUCCACCAGCUGGGAGACCUGCAUAAAUACUGGGCAGGUAGCCCUCAAUAAACCAGACCACUGAUUGAC
rnacentral:lncRNA from 1 species